GCCAGCUUAGCUCAGUCGGUAGAGCAACGCACUCGUAACGCGUAGGUCGUAGGUUCGAUUCCUAUAGCUGGCA
rnacentral:tRNA from 1 species